rnacentral:rRNA from 1 species
UACAGAGGUCUCAAGCGUUGUUCGGAUUCAUUGGGCGUAAAGGGUGCGUAGGCGGCGCGGUAAGUCGGGUGUGGAAUCUCGGGGCUUAACUCCGAAACUGCAUUCGAUACUGCCGUGCUUGAGGACUGGAGAGGAGACUGGAAUUUACGGUGUAGCGGUGAAAUGCGUAGAUAUCGUAAGGAAGACCAGUGGCGAAGGCGGGUCUCUGGACAGUUCCUGACGCUGAGGCACGAAGGUCAGGGGAGCAAACGGG